rnacentral:rRNA from 1 species
AGGACACUCUAUACGGAGUUACAAAGGACGACAUUAGACGAAUCAUCUGGAAAGAUGAAUCAAAGAAGGUAAUAAUCCUGUAGUCGAAAAUGUUGUCUCUCUUGAGUGGAUCCUGAGUACGACGGAGCACGUGAAAUUCCGUCGGAAUCUGGGAGGACCAUCUCCUAAGGCUAAAUACUCUCUAGUGACCGAUAGUGAACCAGUACCGUGAGGGAAAGGUGAAAAGCACCCCGGAAGGGGAGUGAAAUAGAACCUGAAACCGUGUGCUUACAAGUAGUCAGAGCCCGUUAAUGGGUGAUGGCGUGCCUUUUGUAGAAUGAACCGGCGAGUUACGAUUUGAUGCAAGGUUAAGCAGUAAAUGUGGAGCCGUAGCGAAAGCGAGUCUGAAUAGGGCGUUUAGUAUUUGGUCGUAGACCCGAAACCAGGUGAUCUACCCUUGGUCAGGUUGAAGUUCAGGUAACACUGAAUGGAGGACCGAACCGACUUACGUUGAAAAGUGAGCGGAUGAACUGAGGGUAGCGGAGAAAUUCCAAUCGAACCUGGAGAUAGCUGGUUCUCUCCGAAAUAGCUUUAGGGCUAGCCUCAAGUGAUGAUUAUUGGAGGUAGAGCACUGUUUGGACGAGGGGCCCCUCUCGGGUUACCGAAUUCAGACAAACUCCGAAUGCCAAUUAAUUUAACUUGGGAGUCAGAACAUGGGUGAUAAGGUCCGUGUUCGAAAGGGAAACAGCCCAGACCACCAGCUAAGGUCCCAAAAUAUAUGUUAAGUGGAAAAGGAUGUGGCGUUGCCCAGACAACUAGGAUGUUGGCUUAGAAGCAGCCAUCAUUUAAAGAGUGCGUAAUAGCUCACUAGUCGAGUGACACUGCGCCGAAAAUGUACCGGGGCUAAACAUAUUACCGAAGCUGUGGAUUGUCCUUUGGACAAUGGUAGGAGAGCGUUCUAAGGGCGUUGAAGCAUGAUCGUAAGGACAUGUGGAGCGCUUAGAAGUGAGAAUGCCGGUGUGAGUAGCGAAAGACGGGUGAGAAUCCCGUCCACCGAUUGACUAAGGUUUCCAGAGGAAGGCUCGUCCGCUCUGGGUUAGUCGGGUCCUAAGCUGAGGCCGACAGGCGUAGGCGAUGGAUAACAGGUUGAUAUUCCUGUACCACCUAUAAUCGUUUUAAUCGAUGGGGGGACGCAGUAGGAUAGGCGAAGCGUGCGAUUGGAUUGCACGUCUAAGCAGUAAGGCUGAGUAUUAGGCAAAUCCGGUACUCGUUAAGGCUGAGCUGUGAUGGGGAGAAGACAUUGAGUCUUCGAGUCGUUGAUUUCACACUGCCGAGAAAAGCCUCUAGAUAGAAAAUAGGUGCCCGUACCGCAAACCGACACAGGUAGUCAAGAUGAGAAUUCUAAGGUGAGCGAGCGAACUCUCGUUAAGGAACUCGGCAAAAUGACCCCGUAACUUCGGGAGAAGGGGUGCUCUUUAGGGUUAACGCCCAGAAGAGCCGCAGUGAAUAGGCCCAAGCGACUGUUUAUCAAAAACACAGGUCUCUGCUAAACCGUAAGGUGAUGUAUAGGGGCUGACGCCUGCCCGGUGCUGGAAGGUUAAGAGGAGUGGUUAGCUUCUGCGAAGCUACGAAUCGAAGCCCCAGUAAACGGCGGCCGUAACUAUAACGGUCCUAAGGUAGCGAAAUUCCUUGUCGGGUAAGUUCCGACCCGCACGAAAGGCGUAACGAUUUGGGCACUGUCUCAACGAGAGACUCGGUGAAAUCAUAGUACCUGUGAAGAUGCAGGUUACCCGCGACAGGACGGAAAGACCCCGUGGAGCUUUACUGUAGCCUGAUAUUGAAAUUCGGCACAGCUUGUACAGGAUAGGUAGGAGCCUUUGAAACGUGAGCGCUAGCUUACGUGGAGGCGCUGGUGGGAUACUACCCUAGCUGUGUUGGCUUUCUAACCCGCACCACUUAUCGUGGUGGGA